AACAUUUCUAGCUUGCUAGAAGAUGACGAGUGGCGGACGGGUGAGUAAUGCUUGGGAACUUGCCUUUGCGAGGGGGAUAACAGUUGGAAACGACUGCUAAUACCGCAUAAUGUCUUCGGACCAAACGGGGCUUCGGCUCCGGCGCAAAGAGAGGCCCAAGUGAGAUUAGCUAGUUGGUAAGGUAACGGCUUACCAAGGCGACGAUCUCUAGCUGUUCUGAGAGGAAGAUCAGCCACACUGGGACUGAGACACGGCCCAGACUCCUACGGGAGGCAGCAGUGGGGAAUAUUGCACAAUGGGGGAAACCCUGAUGCAGCCAUGCCGCGUGUGUGAAGAAGGCCUUCGGGUUGUAAAGCACUUUCAGUUGUGAGGAAAAGUUAGUAGUUAAUACCUGCUAGCCGUGACGUUAACAACAGAAGAAGCACCGGCUAACUCCGUGCCAGCAGCCGCGGUAAUACGGAGGGUGCGAGCGUUAAUCGGAAUUACUGGGCGUAAAGCGCACGCAGGCGGUUUGUUAAGCUAGAUGUGAAAGCCCCGGGCUCAACCUGGGAUGGUCAUUU
rnacentral:rRNA from 1 species